GUACUACUCCCUCCGUCCGGAAAUACUUGUCGUAGAAAUGGAUACAAAUGGAUGUAUGUAGAACUAAAAUACAUCUAGAUACAUUCAUUCCUCGGACAAGUAUUUUCAGACGGAGGAAGUACAUG
rnacentral:pre_miRNA from 1 species